rnacentral:lncRNA from 1 species
UAUUAUGUAUUAUGUAUAAAGAUUCUUAUCUUUUAUAUGUAAAAAUAGGCUGCACUGUCUUUGUGUAACUGAAAUGUAUGCCAUCUUUUCUUCUUGAUUCACAGGUAGCACAUUAUACUAUGAUGAUGAAUCUCUACAAUGAACAAUGGCUGUCAGGUUCAUAAGCUACCUGGUAACUUACUUCAAAAUAACGACCCUAGAAGAGAUAUAAACAUGAAUGGUGAGUGUUCAGAAAAAAAAUCUCUAAGGGUAUCUGUAUGGCCAAUAAUAUCCAGGCAGAUAUAUAUGUACCCAAAUUAUGACUAAGAUCUUCAUGUACAAUAUAUAAGAACAAAACUUUUGUCCUAAUUUUCCUUGUGAACAAAGCCUAUUAUAAGUUGUAUAUUUGGGUAUUGAUUGUUACCAUGACAACCAAAAUGUAUUCAAUUGUCAAAGAGGCUAGUGGAGCACUUCUGAAAUGACAGGAGUUUUACAAACGUAUAGCCUGUCCAUCCCUAAAUAGAUAUCACUCUUUUGUAAUGAAGAACAAAUUAUAUGUAUGUGAUUUUCUUUUGUGUAAUAGAUAUUAAUGUCCUGAUUUGCUGCAUUUAUUUUUUAAAGGGUCACCUUUUCUCUAAAGACUUUAUGAGUCCCCAACCCCUGUAGAAUUCAUCACUCUCCUUUUUU